UGCUGCUGGGCAGCACCGCUGGGUUGGGAGCACAUCCCUUCUGCAGUACAGGGAACAAAUUGCUCAAGGUGGGAGGAAGCUGUUGUCGCUGGAGUCUUGACUCCGAGGAUCACAACGCAUGCAAAGAAAAAGGCAUCCCAGCUGGACUCGGGGGGAGAAUCUGCUGAUGGUCUGAAUGACAAGCAGGGUGUGGAGUCUUACCAGACACUCUGAGAUGUGGUUGAGCCUGGCUGUCGAGCAGCUUAUUGCAUGUCUUUUCACUGCCUCUCUGCCCCCAGAAUCAUAGCAACAUUGCUAAAGAUGAUGGCUUGUCUGGUGCUCCAGACUCUUUAGUUAAAAAGCACAGGAGAAGAAAAAAAUAAGAAGAAGAAGGAAAAAAAGCCGACGUGAUUCUAUUGUCUCAAGCAAAAGUGGUCAAGCAGCUUCAGAAAGUGGAGGAAGAAACAAGCCUGAGUGGCAAAGGCUGAGCUCUGCUCGGAAGGAAAAGGAAUUGCUGGACCCUCUCGUGGUGCCCUUGCCCAGAUGCUGAGGAAACUACCAAGUGAAACCUGAUGAAGCAAACGUAAUAGUGCCUUUGUGGCAAAUAGGGUCUAGUCUUGACCCUAGACCAAGUCUAGUCUUCUUUUAUGACUCUUCCAGCAUAGUGGCAUGGACAGGAUGGACCACGGAAGAAAGAAGCACCAACAGAAGACAAACAGCUUUCUGUGGAAACCCGAUGAAGCAAGAAGAGAGGAGUGAAAAACGUACUGUGUUGCAUCACACAUAACAAGACUGUUAGCUUUCUGAGGGAGGGCAUAUCCUGUGCUGUUCUGUGUAAAUUUUUUCUCCAUCCCGUCUUACUUUUUGCUGUUAAAAAAACCCAACGAACCAUCCACAAUAGGUCUCUGUUCCAAAGGUGUCACUGAUCGGUUGUUCCUUUUGACUUAGGGUGACAGUCAUACAGAAACCACCACACGGUGAACUGGGAUGCUGGGACUCAUCGCCCGUAUAAACCCAGCACACUGGCAGAGCUGCCUCAGGUUAAAACCAUGCAAAGUUGAGAGGCAGAAGAGUGAGGGAAAGGGGGAUGGAGAGGUGCCGCUAGAGACUGCUGCGGCAUUACUCGAUGAUAAGACCAAUAAGGGAAUUUACUGCUCCCCCAGGGCACCUUUUGUUAGCUGCAGUUCUAUCAAUCAGGCUAAGUGUUGUUUUUCUUUUCAUUACAAAACGUGCCGAAACUUCUGAAAGAAAAACGCCGGAAGUGCUUCCUGAGGGAUUUGUCCUUCGAGAACAGGAAAGUGUUGGUAUGUUGCCAGAGAACAUCUUAUUUAAGAGAUCAAUGACAAAGCUGGAAAAGUCAUUAUUCUUUGGAAGGGAUUUGUUACCUACGCGAAAGGAAACACCAGAAAAGAGAGGCUGCAUUGCAGUCCAGGACCUUGUUCUUUACUUCCACGGGCUUCGCUGAGCACAGCUGGUUACGUUUGAAUGCCAGUAAAGAUGUCCUUCUCACCAGCCCGAAGCCCUUUCAGCCGCAGGGGCGCUGGAAAACCCUGGCUGGCUCUCGCCUGGCGCUGCUGGCCCUGAAGGCGUUUUUGCCAGCCGUUCGGCCGCCCACCCCUUGCAGGGGCGUCCGUACCCCCACGUUUUGGGGGACCGACGUCCCUGAGGGCCCCAGCGGGGACACACGCGCGAUCGCGGGCUGCCGCCUGGCGGCCGCCCCGCCCCCCUGCCGGCACACCCCCUCCGCGGGGGGGAAUACCUUUUUGGGGGUGGUUUUGGUUGUUUGGUUGGUUGGUUUUGGGUUUUGGGGUUUUUUUCGGUUUUUUUUGAGGCGGUGGGGCGGGACGCUCCGGGCCCGCUGCCGGCAGGAGGCAGGCAGGGAAGGGAGCAUCACGCUUUCCUGGAGAGAAGGGAAGAUGUAACUAACGGUUCUGCUUCAAGAAACGCCUUACAGCCUGCGUGCCUCCGGGGGAGUAGCUGCUCAUCUGUGGGUAAUGAAGAUAAUCAACCAGUUCUCUUUUCAACGACACCGGGGAGAAUGCCUGCCAUUCCUCUGUCACCGUGGUUCAGAAGCUUAUCUGUUGGGGCAGGCAGAGCCAGCCAUAAAAAACUAAAAAUCAUUCUGUCACCAGGGUAAAUAAAGAAAAAAAAGAAAAAUGCU